GCGCUCUGGUCUAGGGCGUCGCUGUGUCUGGGACGCUGGCGAUUCUCCGCUGCAGCACAGCUCCCCGAGGAGGAUGCGCAGGAGGGAGCCCCAGCUCCUGCGCAGCCCUCUGCUUUCCCGCACCCGCCACAUGCAACACGGCAGCCCCUCCAGAAGCCUCCUUCACACACACAUCUUCCUCCCCGCCACCGCAGUCCUGAGCGCGCUUAACCAGAGUCAAACCAAAACAGGCCGACUUCUGAUGCUGAGAAGACGAGGAUGCCUCUGGGCGGCGUGGUCUUCACCAGGCCCUCCCUGGAGACCCCUGGGAAUGGCGACUCUCAGUGGUGACUCCCCAGGUGAGAGAAGCUUCUCUGUGCACUUGGCCAGGCCUCUUCCCCUCAAGGCGCUUAACGGAUUAAUUAGUUCCUCGUCAAACUGGUGUGGGGAUUAAUUAGUUAAUCCCCAGGGGCUCCCAGCCAAUCCUCCAUUUCUGUUUAUUUUUUAGUUACCUACCCUCGAGGUUGCCCUUUGAGGCAUCCCUUUGAGGAUGGUCCUCAGGGCAUUUUUACAGGGACGGGAGGGAAAGCAGGGCCUCCUGGUGAUUCUCAGUUCUCGUAACUGCGGGACCCCUGCCCACACAUACACGAUUUGCAAAGGCAUUGCUGGGAAUUCUGGUACCCCCGCCCCUCUGGUUCGUAAUAAGAUCUCUGCACAUGGACAGAGUAGCUGCUGGGGGCCUGGAGGGACAGGCAGCUAGAGGGGCCAAAGGGCCAGCGAGCCAGCCAGCUGGUGCCCAAAGAGACCCGAGGCACUCAGGAGGGCUCCCGGGCCGGUGCUCCCCAGCACCCUCUUCACCAGGCAGCUCAGUGUUCUGCCUCUGCCGCUUUGGACCAGUUCCGGUUUAUUUUUACCUCCUUCCACUGGCCCAGGGAAGGGAGGGUAGUGGGGUUCCACUUUGCCUCCCAACUCACAGAGGGGAUCUGGGUUGGCACAACUUCUAGCCAAGUGGUUCUCAAAGUGGGGUCCCGGGGCCAGCCACAGCAGCAUCUCCUGGAAUCUUGUUAGAAAAGCACAUUCUCACCCAGACCUGCUGAUUCCGAAGCUGGGGGCGUGGGCCGAGCCAUCUGUGAUUUAGCAAGCCCUCCUGGUGAUUCUGGUGCUUGCUAAAGUUUAAGAAGCCCCGCUCCACAUCCCGUGAAGACAGGGGGCUGUAACUUACUCAUCAGUAAGUCUCAGAACACAGCGGAGUGUCUGGCGUGUCGCCACGGACAAUAGAUGUUUAUUGAAUGACUCGGUGAGCCCGUUGUCAGGGACUAUAGCAGCCUUAACAACACUUGAAUGUGCAGGCCCUCUCUACUGUCAAGAGCUCUGUUUCAUAGCUACUGACUUGUUUAUGUUUACGCUCCGCCGGAGGCAGUGCAGCCUAGAGGUCAAGUGUUGGUUUGAGAAUCAGAUUACCUGAGCAUGAAGGUUACUGCCACCGCUUACAGGCUGUGUGACCUUGGGCACCUAACACUACCUCUCUGAGCUUUAUUUCCUUAUUUAUAAAUUGGGGUUAUGUUAUUUGCCUAAGAGUUACAGAAGAGUAAUUAAAUGAUAACUGAAUUAUCUGGAAAAUAUUAAGCAUAUAUAUAAUUACAUAUAAUUAAAGGUAGAUACUCCUGAAUGUAAUGACCUUCAGAGGGAGGGGGAGGGGGAUUUGCACUGGAUAGUCUUGACUCUGCACGUGGUGCUCAGCCCCAUCAGAAGGCCUCGCUCUCUUGGCCCCUUACCUCUGGCCUGGGAAUGAACCCUCCCUACCUUCAUUCCAGAGGCUCAGCGUUCCUAGCAAACUGGGCCUAUUCAUUUCCCUUUUAGCACGAGGCCCUCAAUUUUGGGAGAAACCUGCCCAGAGGGUCCAGCUCCCCUUACCCCUUGUCAGGCUCACCCUAAUGUUUGUGGGACACAGAGGAUAAAUACUGAUAGAGGUCCCUGGCUUAGACCUGUACCUCUUUUUUCCCCAGUCCCUGGUUCCAUCCUUCCAUGGGAAGCUUGUGUGUAUGGUUUCCAGUAUGCAGACUGCCACCCUACUUUUCAGGCCCAGUGGUACUCAGGCCAGCAGCUCAGUGUACCCUCGAGAGGACAGACCUGGUGCAGAGGCCUGGGCAGGCCCCAGAAUGCAUUUAGGCAGGGAGUUCAGGGCAUUGGGCAGCCAGAGUGUGGUCUACAAGAGGGGUGUGGGCAGGCCUGUCCCUUUGGCCGCAGACUUCUCACCCCUUGUGAAGGUGUGGCCGGUGGAGGAACAGAGGAGGGUCUUCUAAAGCACAGGGCCGGGGGCAGGUGGUGCUGUUUGUCCGGUCUCAGGGCGGCACUGGGUGUGGUCAAUGGCUGUGGUCAGAGAGUCCUGUGACCACCAUCCUUCUAGAAGGACAACGCUACUGACUGUGCAUCAGAGCACCAUUGCUGCAAGUGAUGAUUCUAGUCCUGGAAUCAAUUUUCUUGGGCUGCAGCCUGUGCCCUGGGCACAUCGUAACUAAGCGUAAGACAACCAGGCAGGUCUAGAGGACAAAAUGAAGUCCUCUGGAACCAACCCUGAACUCCCGGACUCAUUAGCACUGUGGGUCAGCUGUAGACCUAGGACAGGCCAAGGGUUAGGGUCCCUCUCAUUUUCAAAAAGCUGCAGCCAACCCCGACCCCGAUCCUGCAGAGGUGGCUAUGACAGCGGGAAGGCUGUGGGAUUUAGAGCCGGGAGACCGGGUCUGUCCUUCACCCACUGCGUGACCUUGGGCAAGUCACCUUACAAUUUGAUGCCCACCAGGUGGGACCCUCAGAGGAUUACUGAGCAGAUUGAACGAGACAUAUUGUGAAACGGCCUUGUAAGCGUCUCCGCUCUGGACCAACAGUAUUUUAGAGGAAAAAGCGCAGCACGGCGUCAAGAUCCCUGCCGAAAGGAUCCCUGGGAGAAAAAAGGCGUGCACAGUGAAAGAGAGGGUGGAAGACUACCAGCCCUUAAGGAACAAAUCGGGACAGAGCAAGCAAUUCAGGCCUGUCUAUGGGAUUUACACCGUGGACCCUGGGCCUUGUCUCUCCCUUGCGUGACAAACCACCCUGCCGAUAGGACCUUGUCUACCAUCCACACAAGGAAAGUCUUCUCCUGACUUUCUGCUGCUCCAGGUUGGGAACGCUAGGAAUAUUUUGACAGAGUUCACGCAUCAGGAAAAGGCAGCAAUGCCUCAUCACAGCCCACGAGCACAAACGCAGUUACAGCCAAUACAAAUCAGCUCCAGGGAGGGAGGGGAAGUUUGGCGCGGAGAACCGUGGUGUAGGUGAAUAAAUGAAUGAAUGAAUGAGUGAGUGAGUGAGGGAAAAAGUGAAGUGAACCAGCAUAGAAAGAGGAACUAUAGGCUAUACUUCAUUCUUCGGGGUUCUGUUUCAGAAGUCUCUUUUCUAGAAAGCUUAUCAACUUGCUCUAUUGUUUAAUGCAGUUAAGAGCUAAUUAUUUUUAUGCUGGCUGACCAGAAUCAGUUUUAAUCUCUUGCUUUUUAACCAGAUUUAUAAUCUUAAUUGCCAGUGCUGAAUGCCCCAUUAUUUAAAUAGCCCCGUAGCCUGCAUUGCUAUUCCCUGUGACUGAUUUCUGACCUUUCUCUGAAGGGUAAGCACGACGCUGGAUUCAGACUUCCUACAUCCUCAUCUUGAUAAACUGGCCUUCAUCUUGUACCAAACUGGAGAUAUGAUGAUAAACUAUCUUACAAGGUUAUAUGAUCAAAAGGCUGAGUAUUUACCACUUAAGAGUCCAGUCAGUCAAGCUUGGUGUACAAGCACACACCAGUCUGUUUGAUACAAGGUAGCUUUGAUUUUGCUUUGUUUCCUUAUUUUUGGUCCACAGGACACCAAACCGCUGGAUUAAUGGAUUUCUUUCCCGUGGACGAGUGGAUCUAAUAUUUGAUGUUUUACCUAUUUCUGAGGAUCUCCAAUGUCAGCAGUUACCUGUUUUCACAAACCGCCCCUCACUGUCCUGGUGAUGAGUGAGGCAGCCACGCUGGCCCCUAGGCAAGGGGACAGCAUCCCCUGGCUCCCAUCCUGCUGGAGCUUACAAGACAUUGGGAGGGUGGGGUGUAGAUCAAAGGAUACAGCCAGUCAAGAAACGCCUCUAUAGAGAGGAAAAGGGGGCAUGGCCUGCUUUGCCGAAAGUAAGGAGGAAUUCGGGCUGGACCAGGAGGGAGGUGGGUGUGAGGCCCUUGGGGGCUAGGCUUCAGCAGAAAUCCUCAUCCUUGCUCUGAUCAGAUGCUGCUGAAGAACUGAGUUUAUGUUUUCUCCCUGGGGACAGUGGUUCUCGACCCUCUCUGUACCUCUGAAUCCUUUGUAAAGUGUCGAAAACCACGAUGGUCAGGCCCCACCCCCAUAUUUGGCUCUAGGGAUCUGUGGCAGAGACCCAGGCAAUAGAGUUUUUAAAAAGCUUCCCCGGGUGAUUCUAACGCAUGAGUUGGUGUUGAGACCUUGUCCCGGGCUUGCUAGCUGCAACUUCUGCUAUACCACACCGUCUUUCCCUCUUUAGCUACUUAAAGAGCCCUCAGCACACCCAGAAUGGGACAGAGGCUGUGGAUUUGACUCCUCGAAUACAGUUUUCAGUUUUUUAAAAAAUUAAUUUUGUUGUGCUAGGUCUUAGCUGCCGCAGGUGGGCUCCUUAGUUGCGGCAUGAGAACUCUUAGUCGCGGCAUGCAUGUGGGAUCUAGUUCCCUGGCCAGGGAUCAAACCCCGGGCCCCCUGCACUGGGAGCACGGAAUCUUAACCACUGCGCCAUCAGGGAAGCCCCCAGCCGUCAGUUUUUAAUGUUUGAUUGAGAGGGUGCACACACAGGGCCUCUUGUGGGAUGAAAUGUCCCCACUGUGUACAUCUUAAACUUCUUUCCUUUACGCAGACGUUCCAGAGGGACUCAAGAAGCUCUUAGAGGCCGCUUGUCUAAGCCUCUCCUUUACAGAUAAGGAAACCGAGGUCCUGGGAGGUGAAGAUACUUGCAUAAAUGUCAUUCUGCUUGUUAGGGGACAAGAAACCAGCCCUGCUGCCAGGUCUCGCAGGAAAAUGUGGCCAGUGGGUCGGAUUGGCUUGGAGUUGAAUCUUGCCAUUUACCAGCUGUGUGACCUUGGGAAGUCCCAUUCCCUCUCUGAGCCACUCUUCUUAUCUAUGAAGGGGAGAUGAUAUCUACCUACCUUCCAGGGUGGCUGUGAGGAUUAAGUGAGGAAGUGCGGCUAAGCGACACAUCCAGAUCCGAUGACUUUCUUCCCUUCCCAGCUUCCCCCCAGGACCUUCAAUCCACGGCUCUUUCAAGGGCGUGAGUAAAAGGAGCAACUGAACUAGGGCAGCAAAGGGAGGAGCGGGAAGGAACAGCCCCUAAUGGGCCUCUGAUGGCCUCCCUGUGCUGCCACCAGAAACAGCUGCUCAGAAGCAGGAGGUUUCAGUGUCUGGGACCCGGCCAGGCAGCCCUGAGAGCUCCUGAUCUGAAGAAGGCGGGCAAAGAAAGCUUCACAGAAUCCGAUCUGUUUGUUAGAGGCAACUUGCAAAUUCAGUUCUAAUGGAGCUUUCAAUGCACUACGUUUAAAGAAA